UUUAUCAGUAAAUAUAGAACAGUGUUUAAAAGAAUUGCAUAUUAUUUAUAAAUAUUGUCUGGUAUUCUUAAAAUAUCGUUCGUUUUCUCUUUGCUUUAGAAAAUAUGAUAAACAUUGUAAAAUGUAAGCCUAAAUAUGAUAAUCCAACUGAAGAGAUAUCCGCAUUUGAUUUAGUAUGGAUAAACCGGAUUUACUUGUGAAAUGGAGAAGAUGGGUAAACAAUUCAAAAUGGAACCCUUCAAAAAGUCAUUUAACAGUUCACAUAAAAAUACCUAAAAAGAGGAGUUCCAAUACAUUCCUCAUUCCUGUGGGGUUUGCAGCUAGUACAUUCAAUAGAAAAUAUAGCAACAAAUAAGUGAUGGAAGAUUCUGGUUGCAGAUAUACAGAAUGUGAUUAUAAUAUAACUGUUACACUAUCACAAGACAGCAGUGAAGAAACAAGUCCUGAAUACGUGGCUAAGAUUUUUUUAGAAAAUACAAAUGGUUUUUAAUUGGCAACAACCAAAAAAAGACAGAAAAAUGUUUCAUUUGCUGUGUAUUUUCAUGCGGUAUGGUGGAUUGUCCAUUGCUUCAACUUGUCUUCAUCAAUUUAUCUGCAGUUGUUUUGCGGUCUCACCAGUAAUAGAUAAGAUCAUAGAAAGAUAGACAAACAGUAGCAUCACAUAAUUGCCCCCUGUCUUUCUCUCUUUAAUCUGCUGGGUUGAGCGUCGCCAAUUCCCAUAGACAAAAUUAUCAGUGGAUUGUUUAUCUCUUGUUUUUUUGUAGAAUAUUUAGUAGUGCAAUAACUGGUUUUAGCUGUUUUUUUACGCACGAUUAAAUCGCGAACCCAAACU